CACAAUAAACAUAUGAAGGCCGCACCGCCAACAGGCGGCAAGGCUGGAGUAUUUUAUUACCCUUGUCUUUUGCGCACUUGUUGUUUCCUGGGCGGGUUCGCCCGCCUCCAGGACCACAUGAUAAACCUUUUUUAUGCAGUUGCAAUCAGCGUCAGUACAACAAAUGUAAAUCAUUUA
rnacentral:misc_RNA from 1 species